UCCUGGUUAGUUCAGCUGGUAAAGCGCUCCACUGGAAAUGGGGAGGUCCCUGGUUUGAUUUCAGGACCAGGCA
rnacentral:tRNA from 1 species